AUUGAACGCUGGCGGCAGGCCUAACACAUGCAAGUCGCGCGAGCGGCGGACGGGUGAGAAAUGUAUGGGGACUGCCCGAUAGAGGGGGAUAACUACUGGAAACGGUGGCUAAUACCGCAUACGGUCGGAUCAUCCAUACGGGAUUAGCUAGUAGGUAAGGUAAUGGCUUACCUAGGCGACGAUCCCUAGCUGGUCUGAGUGGAUGAUCAGCCAAACUGGGACUGAGAGACGGCCGUGAAGCUUACGGAGGCAGAAGUGGGGAAAAUUGCACAAUGGGCGCGAGCCUGAUGCAGCCAUGCCGCGUGUAUGAAGAAGGCCCUAGGGUUGUAAAGUACUUUCAGUCGGGAGGCGUUACCGACAGAAGAAGCACCGGCUAACUCCGUGCCAGCAGCCGCGGUAAUAC
rnacentral:rRNA from 1 species